ACUCUGGUGGACUAGUAGUUAGGCCACAGCUCUCUCACCACUGCGGCCUGGGUUCGAUUCCUGGCCAGGGAA